rnacentral:rRNA from 1 species
UGGGUGCCCUUGGGCACUUAGUAGGGAAGCUAACGCGUUAAGUCUUCCGCCUGGGGAGUACGNCCGCCAAGGUUAAAANUCAAAGGAAUUGACGGGGGCCCGCACAAGCGGUGGAACAUGUGGUUUAAUUCGACGCAACGNCGAAGAACCUUACCUACCCUUGACAUGCUCGGAAUCUGCCAGAGAUGGUGGAGUGCCUUCGGGAGCCCGAGACACAGGUGCUGCAUGGCUGUCGUCAGCUCGUGUCGUGAGAUGUUGGGUUAAGUCCCGUAACGAGCGCAACCCCUAUUCUUAGUUGCCAACAGGUAAAGCCUGGGAACUCUAAGGAGACUGCCGGUGACAAGACCGGAGGAAGGUGGGGAUGACGUCAAGUCCUCAUGGCCCUUACGGGUAGGGCAACACACGUGUUACAAUGGUCAGUACAGAGGGAAGCGAAGUCGCGAGAUGGAGCGAAUCCUUUAAAAGCUGAUCGUAGUCCGGAUUGGAGUCUGCAACUCGACUCCAUGAAGUUGGAAUCGCUAGUAAUCGCGGAUCAGAACGCCGCGGUGAAUACGUUCCCGGGCCUUGUACACACCGCCCGUCACAGCAUGGGAGUGGGUUGCACCAGAAGUAGAUAGGCUAACCGCCAAGGGGGUCGUUUACCACGGUGUGAUUCAUGACUGGGCUGAAGUCGUAANCAAGGUACC